rnacentral:rRNA from 1 species
UAUGUGAUCGUCUCUCGCAUAUCAAUAAGCGGAGGAAAAGAAACUAACAAGGAUUCCCCUAGUAACGGCGAGUGAAGCGGGAAGAGCUCAAAUUUGAAAUCUUAAAGGGUUUCCCUUUACGAAUUGUAGUUUAAAGAAGUGUUUUCUGUUGAGGUUUUGGUAAAAGUUCUUUGGAAUAGGACAUCAUAGAGGGUGAGAAUCCCGUAUUUGACCUUUACUUUCAACUUUGUGAUUCACUUUCAAAGAGUCGGAUUGUUUGGGAAUGCAGUCCAAAAUGGGUGGUGAAUUUCAUCUAAAGCUAAAUAUUGGCGAGAGACUGAUAGCGAACAAGUACCGUGAGGGAAAGAUGAAAAGAACUUUGAAAAGAGAGUUAAACAGUACGUGAAAUUGUCAAAAGGGAAGCGUUUGACACCAGUGUUGUUUUUCUGAAAAUCAAUUAAAGAACUGUUUAUGCUAAGUUGUUUAGACUUUAUCAGCUAUACUGUUUAGUUUUGAAGCUUUUCUUUAAUGCACUUUUCAGUUAACAAGUCAACAUCAAUUUCUUUUGCUGUAAAAAAGCUUGAGGAAGGUGGCUUGAGAUUCGUCUUAAGUGUUUAUAGCCUCUUGCCUAUGCAGUCGGAGAGAUUGAGGUCUGCAGCGUAGAUCCUUCGGGGCUAAAUGCAUUUGUGCUAAGUUAUAGCAUUUUAUAGACAACUUGUUGACUAUGAUUUGUCUUGUAGCUUACUCGCUUAUGUUAUUUUACCUACGCUUAGGAUGUUGACACACGCGCGUGCUCG